UACGAAGGGGGCUAGCGUUGUUCGGAAUUACUGGGCGUAAAGCGCGCGCAGGCGGUUCUUCAAGUCAGAGGUGAAAGCCCAGAGCUCAACUCUGGAAUGGCCUUUGAGACUAGAGAACUAGGGUACGGGAGAGGUGAGUGGAAUUCCGAGUGUAGAGGUGAAAUUCGUAGAUAUUCGGAGGAACACCAGUGGCGAAGGCGGCUCACUGGCCCGUUACCGACGCUCAGGCGCGACAGCGUGGGGAGCAAACAGG
rnacentral:rRNA from 1 species